GCCUGCUGGCCGCGGUAUUUUGACCGUGCGAAGGUAGCAUAAUCAUUAGUCUUUUAAUUGGAGGCUGGUAUGAAUGGCUGGACGAGAAAAUUUCUGUCUUUGAAUUUUAUUUUUAAGUGAAAAAGCUUAAAUUUGUUUGAGGGACGAUAAGACCCUAUGGAUCUUUUGGGUUGGGGCGACCUAAAAUGACCCUGAAUUUUGGUUUAAAAGACUAAGUUACCCUAGGGAUAACAGCGUAAUCUUUUUGGAGAGUUCAUAUCGAUAAAAAGGUUUGCGACCUCGAUGUUGGAUUAAGAGAUCCUUGCGGCGCAGCCGUUGUAAAGGAGAGUCUGUUCGACUUUUAAAUUCUU
rnacentral:rRNA from 1 species